rnacentral:rRNA from 1 species
CAGCCGCCGCGGGAACACCGAGGGUGCAAGCGUUAAUCGGAAUUACUGGGCGUAAAGCGCGCGUAGGUGGUUUGUUAAGUUGGAUGUGAAAUCCCCGGGCUCAACCUGGGAACUGCAUCCAAAACUGGCAAGCUAGAGUAUGGUAGAGGGUGGUGGAAUUUCCUGUGUAGCGGUGAAAUGCGUAGAUAUAGGAAGGAACACCAGUGGCGAAGGCGACCACCUGGACUGAUACUGACACUGAGGUGCGAAAGCGUGGGGAGCAAACAGGAUUAGAUACCCCCGUAGUCCCUGUCUCUUAUAC